ACGGGUGAGUAACACGUAGGUAACCUGCCUAUGAGACUGGGAUAACUAUCGGAAACGAUAGCUAAGACCGGAUAACUGGUUUUCUCGCAUGAGAGAAUCAUGAAACACGGAGCAAUCUGUGGCUUAUAGAUGGGCCUGCGGCGCAUUAGCUAGUUGGUAGGGUAAUGGCCUACCAAGGCGACGAUGCGUAGCCGACCUGAGAGGGUGACCGGCCACACUGGGACUGAGACACGGCCCAGACUCCUACGGGAGGCAGCAGUAGGGAAUCUUCCGCAAUGGACGCAAGUCUGACGGAGCAACGCCGCGUGAGUGAUGAAGGUUUUCGGAUCGUAAAGCUCUGUUGCCCUAGACGAACAGCAUGAGGAGUAACUGCCUUGUGUGUGACGGUAUAGGAGAAGAAAGCCCCGGCUAACUACGUGCCAGCAGCCGCGGUAAUACGUAGGGGGCAAGCGUUGUCCGGAAUUAUUGGGCGUAAAGCGCGCGCAGGCGGUUAGUUAAGUUGGGUGUUUAAGCCCGGGGCUCAACCCCGGUUCGCAUCCAAAACUGGUUGACUUGAGUGUAGGAGAGGAAAGUGGAAUUCCACGUGUAGC
rnacentral:rRNA from 1 species